GUGUUCUAAACACCCUAAACCCCUGUGAACAUACCAGUCGUUGCUUCGGCGGGAUCGCCCCGGGCGCCUCACAGCGCCCCGGAACCAGGCGCCCGCCGGGGGAAACCAAACUCUUGUUUUGUAUAGUGGCUUACUCUGAGUGGCUCCUAGCGAGCAAAAAAUGUCAAAACUUUCAACAACGGAUCUCUUGGUUCUGGCAUCGAUGAAGAACGCAGCGAAAUGCGAUAAGUAAUGUGAAUUGCAGAAUUCAGUGAAUCAUCGAAUCUUUGAACGCACAUUGCGCCCGCCAGUAUUCUGGCGGGCAUGCCUGUCUGAGCGUCAUUUCAACCCUCCGCGCCGGUUCCCUCUAGGGGGUCCCGGGGCGGGUGUUGGGGAUCGUCACAGCGCCCUAGCGGCGUACCGACGUCCCCUAAAUCCAGUGGCAGCCACGCGGCGGCCUCCCUCGCGCAGUAACCAAUCUCGCGGGCGGACCGUCGGCGUCGGAUCGCCGUAAAACCACCAACUUUCUUAUGGUUGACCUCAGAUCAGGUA
rnacentral:rRNA from 1 species